CACACUUGCUCAUGUAAUAUCCCUCGCUUUUAAAAAUUAUUAAUAAAGAUUUAUAUGUAAAUUGGAGGACCUAUAUGUAAAUAUAGAAAUUACAAGGACUAAACUGCUAAGUUGCAAAAAAAAGAAAAAAAAAGGGAAAACCGAAAAUUCGGUAUUAUCCCACCGCCUCCCACGCACUCUGUUUCUUCCAGAAACAGAGAGAGCGGUGGGGCGUGAGGAGAAGAAGGAGAGUGGUAGAAGAAGAAGAAGAAGAAGAAGAAGAAGAAGAAGAAGAGGGAAAAGAAGAGAGGAGGAAGAAGAGGGAGUAGAGAAGAAGAAGAAGGAGAAGAAGAAGAAGAGGAGGUGGCUGCAGCGAGGGCUGCAGCGAGAAGCUGUGGGGCGUGGGGAGAAGAAGAGAGGAAGAAGAGGGAGAAGAGAAGAAGAAGAAGAAGAAGAAGAGAAGAGGAUAGCUGCGGCAAGGCUGCAGCGAGGAGGUGUGUGGGGUUGGGGAGGAAAAGGGAAGAGGAGAAGAAGAGGGAAAAGAGAGGGAAGAGGGAGAGGAGCGAGAGGUGGCAGCAGCUAGGGCUGCAGCACCUCUGUUUCCUGCAGGUGGAAACAGAGGAGACGUGUGGGGCGUUCGAAGAGGAGAAGAAGAAGAAGAGGAAGAGAAGAGGAAGAGGAAGCAGGGGAAGAGGUUGUGAUACCUCUGUUUCCUGCAGAGGAAACAGAGGAAAGGGUGUGGGUGACGUCGGGGAGAAGAAGGGGAGGAAGGAGAAGAAGAGAAGAAGAAGAAAGGAAGGAAAAGGAAGAGGAGAAGGGAAGAAAGUAGCUGCGGCUGCGGUUGUGGCAGCUGCAGCUGUGGCAGGGAAAGAAGAAGAGAAAGGAAGAAGGGGAGGAGAGGAAGAAGAGUAGGGGCUGCGGCUGCGGCGAUGGCAGCUGCAGUUGGAAGAGAAGAAGGAGAGGAAGAUGAGCAGGGGAGGAAGAAAAGGCUGUGGCCGUGGCUGAGGCUGCGACUGCAGCAUGCAGCUGGGAAAGAAGAGAAGGAAAGGAAGAAGAAGAGAAAGGAAGAAGGGAAGGAGAGGAAGAAGAGAAGGGGCUGCGGCUGCGGCGAUGGCAGCUGCAGUUGGAAGAGAAGAAGGAGAGGAAGAUGAGCAGGGGAGGAAGAAAAGGCUGUGGCCGUGGCUGAGGCUGCGACUGCAGCAUGCAACUGGGAAAGAAGAGAAGGAAAGGAAGAAGAAGAGAAAGGAAGAAGGGAAGGAGAGGAAGAAGAGAAGGGGCUACGGCUGCGGCGAUGGCAGCUGCAGUUGGAAGAGAAGAAGGAGAGGAAGAUAAGCAGGGGAGGAAGAAGAGGCUGCGAGUGUGGUGGCUGCGGCCGUGGCUGCGACUCCGGCUGCGGCUGCAACGUUGGCUGCGGUAGCUGCGGCAGCGGUGGUGGCUGCAGUAGCUGCAGUAGCUGCUUUUGGGAAAGAGAAAGAGUAGGAACGAGAGAAGGGAAGAAGGAAAUAGUGCAGUGGAAGGGGGCUGCGGUUGUGACCGCAGUUGCGGUCGUGGCUGCGAUUGUGGCAGCGGCAGCGACGACGGCUGUGGCAGCUGCGUUUGGGAAAGAAAAAAAAAGAAGGAAUGAGAGUAAGAGAGAGCAGGUGACUGUGCCUCGAUGUUCGACACGUGAUGUAGUUGCGAAGAAAGGAAGAAAACGGGAGCACAAAACGAAACAGAGAGAGGACACGGAGAAAAAGUAGAAGGAUUUGGGCUGGCACCUUCUUUGGAUCUUCGGAUCGAAAUCAUUGAAAGGUCAGCUUGUCACUCUUCGAGAUGUUUGAUUUGGGCUGAGGCAGUGGAUAGCUAUUCAGAAUAAUGGGCAAGUCUGGUUGGUUAUUACGAUAUUGUUGUAUAAGUAUGUCUUGUAUGUAAUGAAAUGUUGUCGAUGAACCGAAAUGGAUAUACUGUGUCAAAGUGUUAGGAGAUCUCUCUUAUUUGGAAAUUUCAGAAUGUUAAGUCUAAUUUAUGGUGAUAUGAACUUGUGGUGAAUAGUUGGAGUUCUGAUUGUAUAAUUUAUUUAGCUUGUGGAUUUAUAAAUAUUAUUCAUGUUUGUCAAGUUGGCUUGGGUUGCCAUAAAUGUGAAUUAUCGAGUGAUGUGAUAUAUGAUUAUAAACUGCACAGGUUUUAUGGAUGUGAAUAUUAAUAGAAUGUUUUCAGUGUCCUCAAACGUUCGUUUGGAUCCUGGAUUGGUCUGUGACGAAAAUUUUAAAAAUCAUGGAUAUUUUGAGGGGCAUGACAGAGGUGGUAUCAGAGCAUUGUUUGAGGAUUACUGAAAUAUUUGAUAUGUUGACGUGCAAAAUAUAUUGGGGUCUAAUGAACUAUAGUGAUUGGUGGAAAUUUUCUUUGAUGUAUUUUAGGAAUCUGGGAUGAUGAGGACAUUUGGUCCUCCUAUUUCAUUGUUUCUGAUUAAUUAAGGGGAAUGAAAGGAUUGAUUGGGGAUAUUGAAUCAGAGUGGCGCAGCGAAAGCAUGGUGGACCUAAUUUCAUUGGUGGUAGAAAAAUGAAUGAUGCAAACAGAGAAGAUAUUUGAUGUACAAAAUUGUUUUGAUGAUCAAAAGAUUUCUUUUGCCACCUUAUAUUGGAAGUAGAGGCUGAUUAUUAUUGGCAACAAUGAAAAGAAUUUUUGGAGAUCAGUGACAAGAAUGAUAAGGACAAGUUUACCAAUAAGAAUAUGAUUGGAAAUGAAUCAGAAAGUAAUGACAAGAGGGUCAAGACAUUUGGAUUUGAAAAGGAAAGUCACCACCAAAGACUUAAUCAUGUGUGAAUUACAAGUUAAAUUAUGAAACAAGUUUGUGUUUUCGGGUGAUUGGAGUCUAUUUUGCUUGUAGAAAGUUGGAUCAUAAAAUAAAAGUUUGCCCUUUGAACAAGAAGAAAGAGUCACUGCCUCCUAAAUCAUCAGCCCAUGUAAGAGUGUAUGCUAUCACUGAAUAUGAUUCUGAAACUUCUGAAUUAGUGGCCAAAGGUAUUAUGCAUGUUUAUGAAAGAAUGCAAAUAUUUGUUCGACCAUGGGUCCAAUCUACGAUUUGAUUCGUAAUAUUUUGCUUAUCACUUGGGUAUUCAACCUAGACCACUACAUUAUGUGCUAUAAGUAAAUACGAUCAUUGGAGAUUCUUUGAUAACGAAGUUGAAUCUGGUCCUCUUGUCUGAUUCUUAUUGGAGAACUUGAACUUUUGCUGAUUUAGUUCUCCUAGAGAUUUGGAGUUAUGAUAUUAUACUUGGUAUGGAUUGGCCAUCUUAUUAUCAUACCAGUAUGGAUUGAUAUAUAACAAAUAAUCACUUUUUGUAUAUUUGAUCAGUCGAUCUUUUACAUUGAGAGUAUGGGACAUGAUUUAUCUCCUUGCCUAAUGUAUCCCAGAAUGACUUGCUUGGAUUACCUCCAAACGUGACUUUGCUUUUGAUUUGGCCUUUAGGACAAUCCCAAUAUCUAAGCCUCUCUGUAGAAUGAUAUCAUUUGAGUAAGUGGAAUUGGAAAAACAACUACAAGGAUUAUUAAAUGAGGAUUUUAUUUGGCUUAAUAUUUCAUCAUGGGGUGCUCCGGUGUUAGUUAAAAGAAAUGUAUGGAAUAUUGAGGCUUUGUAAUGAUUAUAGACAGUUGAAUUAGGUGACCAUCAAAAACGAGUAUUUUCUGAAGUAACGACUUGCUCGAUUAAUUACAGGGUACGCAAGUAUUUUUAGAAAUUGAUUGAAGGUCGGGUUACCGUCUAUUGAGGAUCAAGGAGGAGAAUAUUUCGGUCACUCGUGGAUAAUUAUGUAAUUGUAUUGUAUUGAUGAAACUAUUUAAGAGUAGGAGGAGGAAAUAAAGAUAUCAUAAUCCUCAUCUUUUCAUCGAUUGAGCUAUGAUCAAUUUAGAGGACUAAAUUUUCUUUUAAGGGGGGGAGAGUGUAAUAUCCCUCGCUUUUAAAAAUUAUUAAUAAAGAUUUAUAUGUAAAUUGGAGGACCUAUAUGUAAAUAUAGAAAUUACAAGGACUAAACUGCUAAGUUGCAAAAAAAAGAAAAAAAAAGGGAAAACCGAAAAUUCGGUAUUAUCCCACCGCCUCCCACGCACUCUGUUUCUUCCAGAAACAGAGAGAGCGGUGGGGCGUGAGGAGAAGAAGGAGAGUGGUAGAAGAAGAAGAAGAAGAAGAAGAAGAAGAAGAAGAAGAAGAAGAAGAGGGAAAAGAAGAGAGGAGGAAGAAGAGGGAGUAGAGAAGAAGAAGAAGGAGAAGAAGAAGAAGAGGAGGUGGCUGCAGCGAGGGCUGCAGCGAGAAGCUGUGGGGCGUGGGGAGAAGAAGAGAGGAAGAAGAGGGAGAAGAGAAGAAGAAGAAGAAGAAGAAGAGAAGAGGAUAGCUGCGGCAAGGCUGCAGCGAGGAGGUGUGUGGGGUUGGGGAGGAAAAGGGAAGAGGAGAAGAAGAGGGAAAAGAGAGGGAAGAGGGAGAGGAGCGAGAGGUGGCAGCAGCUAGGGCUGCAGCACCUCUGUUUCCUGCAGGUGGAAACAGAGGAGACGUGUGGGGCGUUCGAAGAGGAGAAGAAGAAGAAGAGGAAGAGAAGAGGAAGAGGAAGCAGGGGAAGAGGUUGUGAUACCUCUGUUUCCUGCAGAGGAAACAGAGGAAAGGGUGUGGGUGACGUCGGGGAGAAGAAGGGGAGGAAGGAGAAGAAGAGAAGAAGAAGAAAGGAAGGAAAAGGAAGAGGAGAAGGGAAGAAAGUAGCUGCGGCUGCGGUUGUGGCAGCUGCAGCUGUGGCAGGGAAAGAAGAAGAGAAAGGAAGAAGGGGAGGAGAGGAAGAAGAGUAGGGGCUGCGGCUGCGGCGAUGGCAGCUGCAGUUGGAAGAGAAGAAGGAGAGGAAGAUGAGCAGGGGAGGAAGAAAAGGCUGUGGCCGUGGCUGAGGCUGCGACUGCAGCAUGCAGCUGGGAAAGAAGAGAAGGAAAGGAAGAAGAAGAGAAAGGAAGAAGGGAAGGAGAGGAAGAAGAGAAGGGGCUGCGGCUGCGGCGAUGGCAGCUGCAGUUGGAAGAGAAGAAGGAGAGGAAGAUGAGCAGGGGAGGAAGAAAAGGCUGUGGCCGUGGCUGAGGCUGCGACUGCAGCAUGCAACUGGGAAAGAAGAGAAGGAAAGGAAGAAGAAGAGAAAGGAAGAAGGGAAGGAGAGGAAGAAGAGAAGGGGCUACGGCUGCGGCGAUGGCAGCUGCAGUUGGAAGAGAAGAAGGAGAGGAAGAUAAGCAGGGGAGGAAGAAGAGGCUGCGAGUGUGGUGGCUGCGGCCGUGGCUGCGACUCCGGCUGCGGCUGCAACGUUGGCUGCGGUAGCUGCGGCAGCGGUGGUGGCUGCAGUAGCUGCAGUAGCUGCUUUUGGGAAAGAGAAAGAGUAGGAACGAGAGAAGGGAAGAAGGAAAUAGUGCAGUGGAAGGGGGCUGCGGUUGUGACCGCAGUUGCGGUCGUGGCUGCGAUUGUGGCAGCGGCAGCGACGGCGGCUGUGGCAGCUGCGUUUGGGAAAGAAAAAAAAAGAAGGAAUGAGAGUAAGAGAGAGCAGGUGACUGUGCCUCGAUGUUCGACACGUGAUGUAGUUGCGAAGAAAGGAAGAAAACGGGAGCACAAAACGAAACAGAGAGAGGACACGGAGAAAAAGUAGAAGGAUUUGGGCUGGCACCUUCUUUGGAUCUUCGGAUCGAAAUCAUUGAAAGGUCAGCUUGUCACUCUUCGAGAUGUUUGAUUUGGGCUGAGGCAGUGGAUAGCUAUUCAGAAUAAUGGGCAAGUCUGGUUGGUUAUUACGAUAUUGUUGUAUAAGUAUGUCUUGUAUGUAAUGAAAUGUUGUCGAUGAACCGAAAUGGAUAUACUGUGUCAAAGUGUUAGGAGAUCUCUCUUAUUUGGAAAUUUCAGAAUGUUAAGUCUAAUUUAUGGUGAUAUGAACUUGUGGUGAAUAGUUGGAGUUCUGAUUGUAUAAUUUAUUUAGCUUGUGGAUUUAUAAAUAUUAUUCAUGUUUGUCAAGUUGGCUUGGGUUGCCAUAAAUGUGAAUUAUCGAGUGAUGUGAUAUA